rnacentral:rRNA from 1 species
CGAAGGGUGCAAGCGUUACUCGGAAUUACUGGGCGUAAAGCGUGCGUAGGUGGUUCGUUAAGUCUGCCGUGAAAGCCCCGGGCUCAACCUGGGAAUGGCGGUGGAUACUGGCGGACUAGAGUGCGGUAGAGGGAGGUGGAAUUCCCGGUGUAGCAGUGAAAUGCGUAGAGAUCGGGAGGAACAUCUGUGGCGAAGGCGGCCACCUGGACCAGCACUGACACUGAGGCACGAAAGCGUGGGGAGCAAACAGGAUUAGAUACCCUGGUAGUCCACGCCCUAAACGAUGCGAACUGGACGUUGGGAGCAACUAGGCUCUCAGUGUCGAAGCUAACGCGUUAAGUUCGCCGCCUGGGGAGUACGGUCGCAAGACUG